GAUGAACGCUAGCGGCAGGCUUAACACAUGCAAGUCGAGGGGUAGAGGUUGCUUGCAACCUUGAGACCGGCGCACGGGUGCGUAACGCGUAUGCAACCUACCUUUUACAGAGGGAUAGCCCAGAGAAAUUUGGAUUAAUACCUCAUAGUAUAUAACCUUCGCAUGUUGGUUAUAUUAAAGUUCCAACGGUAAAAGAUCGGCAUGCGUCCUAUUAGCUAGAUGGUAAGGUAACGGCUUACCAUGGCAACGAUAGGUAGGGGUCCUGAGAGGGAGAUCCCCCACACUGGUACUGAGACACGGACCAGACUCCUACGGGAGGCAGCAGUGAGGAGUAUUGGACAAUGGGCGCAAGCCUGAUCCAGCCAUGCCGCGUGCAGGAAGAAGCAUCUAUGGUGUGUAAACUGCUUUCGUACAGGAAGAAACACCCCGACGUGUCGGGGCUUGACGGUACUGUAAGAAUAAGGAUCGGCUAACUCCGUGCCAGCCGCCGCCGUAA
rnacentral:rRNA from 1 species